ensembl:misc_RNA 7SK 7SK RNA
GUGAGAGUCAUCUGGCUUCAACAUCACCCCAUUGAUCACCAGGGUUGUUUGGGCUGAUCUGUCUGGCUAGGCAGGUGCCCCUUCCAACCUUACUGUUCCAUGUGCAUCCCUCCUGAAGCUGAGAGCUUAAUCGAAGGGAGUAACCUUCCCAGAUAGAGAGGACUGUUGGUCAUCCAGGGUAUACUGGUAGUUGUGCUACUGUGCUAGAACCUCCAGAUAAGUUCUCAGUAUAAACCAGUGAUUCUGAGAAACAGUUAUAUUAAAAAUAAAUUAUUCUCCUGAUUAAUACAUUGCUUUAAAUAAAGGUUCUGAUGUACAUU